GAUAUUGUAUGUUUACUCAAAUUCAAUGUAACGCUUUGACAUUUCACGUUUCCAGGUGCUUUCAAUCAUAUGAUGCAAUCGCUUUUGUGGAACUACUUUUAUUUUGAUCAAGUGCUGCGCAUAAAGACGUAGGGCAGGGGAGUGAAGCGGCAGCUGUCCUUGUCAUAUGACCGCGGCCCAGCAGUUAGCACAGAGACAAGAAACUAACACAACACGCGAUAAUAAACUGGAAUUUGGACCGAAUAGAAAACGGUGGUCUAAAAAAAUUGGAGUCCAAAGACUUUCAUCAGGUUCUCUGCAAAGUGGCCAACGUUGAGAAUGAGUGUCACUCGUUAUUUAAGCUCAGUUAUAACUACAUUGUUUCGAAGUUUCGCUAUUUCGGCUGUUGCCGCAACAUGAGGGCAGACUCAUCAGAACAGGAUCACCGAGGCCUCAACAAGAGAUCAUCCCGAAGUAAACGCAACCACUGAGCAGCUACACGGCUCCUGAUCCAAGUUCUAGACAUCUCCACUGACAGUUACCUACCUUCCUGACAGCCAUGUAGCAGGUUGUGCUGUGGAACACUGCAUUACAUUGACUUACUAUAAAAAGGAUAAGCUAGACCAGCAGCAUUGAUUUAAAAUGGGAAGAUAAGACAAACUUCAGUAGAAAAAACUCAAAAGCACCAAAGGCUUCCACCACCCAAAAAUAAAAACAGCUCAACUAUUUAUAACCUUGAACCAUGAAGGUACUAUUUAUUACAUGUUGUAUUUUUGUCUGAGCCAGCUGUACCAAAUACACAGACAGCUGAGCUGUCAAUCCACAUACAAGCCAUUCAGCGCCAUAUAUGACACAAUCGGUCUUAAACAAGCACGUGAGUUGUCAGUUGCCUUUAUCUGAAGGCCGAGGAUCAGCUUCCUUCUGGACGGGAGACAAACAUCUUCCACAUUAUGGUUUGAUGACGAGUAGCUUUUUUUUUUUUUUUUUUUUGUUGGAAAAACCGGCAUCGACGUUGAAUACAGUUUCUCUGAAUACUGAGCGGGCAAAUGCCGUUUCCCGUCACGCCACACGAUGGCAGCAGGCUGUUGGGCAAAAAAACAAAAAAACAACUUGCCUCCAGCAGACAUUGAGGGAAUCCUCUUAAGCUUUUUUGUUUUCACCCCCCAGAGCAAAGUCUGCAGAAUGAAUUUGAUUCAAAAAAAAAAGAAAAAAAAAAGAACAAGCUAGAUAAGAAUGGUCCGAUACUGACAAGUGUUUUAUUAGUAACACAGACCUGGAGACAGAGCCAAUGAGAAGCCGGUGUGAGCCUUGACAACAAGACAUUGUUCACAAGGCAUUUGGAGUCCAAUAGUUGAACCCAUACAGUCAGCGGAGCGGGUGAAAACCGAAAGGCUGCAAAUUUGAAUCAAAUACAAAACCAACUGCAACAAAAAAAAAA